AACGAACGCUGGCGGCAUGCCUAACACAUGCAAGUCGAACGAGACCUUCGGGUCUAGUGGCGCACGGGUGCGUAACGCGUGGGAACCUGCCCUUAGGUUCGGAAUAACUCCCCGGAAGGGGUGCUAAUACCGGAUAAUGUCUUCGGACCAAAGGUUUAUCGCCUUUGGAUGGGCCCGCGUUGGAUUAGCUAGUUGGUAGGGUAAAAGCCUACCAAGGCGACGAUCCGUAGCUGGUCUGAGAGGAUGAUCAGCCACACUGGGACUGAGACGCGGCCCAGACUCGUACGGGAGGCAGCAGUGGGGAAUAUUGGACAAUGGGCGAUAGACUGAUCCAGCGAUGCCGCGUGAGUGAUGAAGGCCUUAGGGUUGUAAAGCUCUUUUACCCGGGAUGAUAAUGACAGUACCGGGAGAAUAAGCUCCGGCUAACUACGUG
rnacentral:rRNA from 1 species